UACGGGGUCAAGGGUGCGAGCGAUUAAUCGGAAUUGCUAGGGGCGUAAACGUGCGCAGGGCGGUUCGGUUGAUGUACGGUGGUGAAAAGCCCCGGGCAUUAACCUGGGAUGACCAUUGGAAACUGGCGAACUGGAGUGUGGCAGAGGGGGGGUGAAUUCCGCGUGUAGGCAGUAGAAAUGCGUAGAGAGUGACGGGAGGAAACACCGGAUGCGAAGGCAGCCCCCUGGGGCUGAGCACUGAACCGCUCGAGGCACGGAAAGCCGUGGGGAGCAAACAGG
rnacentral:rRNA from 1 species